UACGUAGGGGGCAAGCGUUGUCCGGAAUCAUUGGGCGUAAAGAGCGUGUAGGCGGCCCGGUAAGUCCGCUGUGAAAGUCCAGGGCUCAACCCUGGAAUGCCGGUGGAAACUGUCGGGCUAGAGUCCGGAAGAGGCGAGUGGAAUCCUGGUGUAGCGGUGAAAUGCGCAGAUAAUCAGGAGGAACACCAAUGGCGAAGGCAGCUCGCUGGGACGGUACUGACGCUGAGACUGCGAA
rnacentral:rRNA from 1 species